GUGCCAGCAGCCGCGGUAAUACUGGCAGCCCGAGUGAUGGCCGAUCUUAUUGGGCCUAAAGCGUCCGUAGCUGGCCGCACAAGUCUGUCGGGAAAUCCACCUGCUCAACAGGUGGGCGUCCGGCGGAAACUGUGUGGCUUGGAACCGGAAGGCUCAGAGGGUACGUCCGGGGUAGGAGUGAAAUCCCGUAAUCCCGGACGGACCACCGAUGGCGAAAGCACUCUGAGAAGACGGCUUCGACAGUGAGGGACGAAAGCCAGGGUCUCCAACCGGAUUAGAUACCCUGGUAGUCC
rnacentral:rRNA from 1 species